CCCCUGAACCCCUCGUUGGUCCAUUGUUUUGUCAUUCACUGUGUCAUGGGGAUUGAAUGGAGGGAGUCGACAUUUAUUUAGCAGAAGUUGUGUGAAGAGGCAGUGGCCAGGAGGCGCUUUCUGUCAGGGAGGAAGGGAGGAGGCCUGUGACGUACCUGGAGGGUACCAGAGGUGAGAGAUUGCAGCUCUGCAAGCCCAUGCGCUUCCACCAGCAGGCGGAGAACGUGCAUCUCUGCAGCCGCUUGUCUGGCUGCCUGGGAGGAAGGUCUGGAUGUUCACACUUCACACUCGGUCCUGUGCUGCGAGGGCAGGGGUGGAGUCGUGCAGAUUGCUUCUUGGUGCUGCUGGAGGACUGCUGUGGCCCGGUCUGUCUGGGCACGGAGCAGGUGAGCUGGGGACCAGCGGGAGCUCCAGUUCCUCCAGCAGGGCCAGGAUGUGCUGCUCGCCGAGCGACAGAACAGCUGCAGCGCAGCGCCUGCCAACUGGCCCUGUUUCACCACACUGCCUUCCAAGGCCCUGUCACUCAGAGCGCCCCCUCCACAAAAGCCAGCACAAAAUGAGACCCUAAUUGAAACUCAGGUCACUGCUUCAGCCUUUGAGCCACCUUUUAUUUCUGGGCACUUUGGGAAGGAGAGCUCAGCUCCGUUUCCCUGCUGGAACGAGUUGCAGAGAGCAUUCAGCGCCCCCCCCGCAGCCUCCACACGCCUCUCGUGCACGAGCCAAGGUGCAGGUCCCGGGGGGGGGCGCGCCAGGCUGGG
rnacentral:lncRNA from 1 species